UCUGUGCCGGAGUUAACGCAAUAAGUACCCCGCCUGGGGAGUACGACCGCAAGGUUGAAACUCAAAGGAAUUGACGGGGGCCCGCACAAGCGGUGGAGUAUGUGGUUUAAUUCGACGCAACGCGAAGAACCUUACCAGGUCUAGACAUUGGUGGACAGAACCAGAGAUGGUUCCUCUUCUUCGGAAGCCAGAAAACAGGUGGUGCACGGUUGUCGUCAGCUCGUGUCGUGAGAUGUUGGGUUAAGUCNNNNANCGAGCGCAACCCCUAUCUUAUGUUGCCAGCACGUAAAGGUGGGAACUCAUGAGAGACUGCCGCAGACAAUGCGGAGGAAGGCGGGGAUGACGUCAAAUCAUCAUGCCCCUUAUGACCUGGGCUACACACGUACUACAAUGGGAGUUAAUAGACGGAAGCGAGAUCGCGAGAUGGAGCAAACCCGAGAAACACUCUCUCAGUUCGGAUCGUAGGCUGCAACUCNC
rnacentral:rRNA from 1 species